GCCAGGCGUGGUGGGGCACGCCUGUAGUCCCAGCUACUUGGGAGGCUGAGGCAUGAGAAUCGCUUGAACCCAGGAGGUGGAGGUUGCAGUGAGCCGAGAUCUCGCCACUGCACUCCAGCCUGGGUGACACAAUGAGAUUCUGCCUCAA
rnacentral:SRP_RNA from 1 species